rnacentral:rRNA from 1 species
GACGAACGCUGGCGGCGUGCUUAACACAUGCAAGUCGAACGGAAAGGCCCUGCUUGCUGGGUACUCGAGUGGCGAACGGGUGAGUAACACGUGGGUGAUCUGCUCUGCACUUCGGGAUAAGCCUGGGAAACUGGGUCUAAUACCGGAUAGGAGCCAUUCUUAGUGUGAUGGUUGGAAAGUUUUUUCGGUGUAGGAUGAGCUCGCGGCCUAUCCGCUUGUUGGUGGGGUAAUGGCCUACCAAGGCGGCGACGGGUAGCCGGCCUGAGAGUGUGGACGGCCACACUGGGACUGAGAGACGGCCCAGACGCCGACGGGAGGCAGCAGUGGGGAAGAUUGCACAAGGGGCGCAAGCCUGAUGCAGCGACGCCGCGGGGGGGAUGACGGCCUUCGGGUUGUAAACACCUUUCGCGAGGGACGAAGCUUUUUGUGACGGUACCUAGAUAAGAAGCACCGGCUAACUACGUG